UAUAAGGGAUUUUGAGUUUUUACUUGCAACGUUUGACCACUCAUCUUAUUCAAAUUUUUUUAAAAUUAUUAUUUAUUUUAUUUAUGACUUACUUUAUUAUCUAUAGUACUUUAAGCACAACUUUUCGUUUUUUAUAUUUAUAAAAUUUUUUUAAUAAGACGAGUGGUCAAACGUUGCAAUCAAAAACUCAAAAUCCCUUAUA
rnacentral:pre_miRNA from 1 species